UAGCUACAGGCUUAACACAUGCAAGUCGAGGGGCAGCAUGGUCUUAGCUUGCUAAGGCCGAUGGCGACCGGCGCACGGGUGAGUAACACGUAUCCAACCUGCCGUCUACUCUUGGACAGCCUUCUGAAAGGAAGAUUAAUACAAGAUGGCAUCAUGAGUCCGCAUGUUCACAUGAUUAAAGGUAUUCCGGUAGACGAUGGGGAUGCGUUCCAUUAGAUAGUAGGCGGGGUAACGGCCCACCUAGUCUUCGAUGGAUAGGGGUUCUGAGAGGAAGGUCCCCCACAUUGGAACUGAGACACGGUCCAAACUCCUACGGGAGGCAGCAGUGAGGAAUAUUGGUCAAUGGGCGAGAGCCUGAACCAGCCAAGUAGCGUGAAGGAUGACUGCCCUAUGGGUUGUAAACUUCUUUUAUAAAGGAAUAAAGUCGGGUAUGGAUACCCGUUUGCAUGUACUUUAUGAAUAAGGAUCGGCUAACUCCGUGCCAGCAGCCGCGGUAAUACGGAGGAUCCGAGCGUUAUCCGGAUUUAUUGGGUUUAAAGGGAGCGUAGAUGGAUGUUUAAGUCAGUUGUGAAAGUUUGCGGCUCAACCGUAAAAUUGCAGUUGAUACUGGAUAUCUUGAGUGCAGUUGAGGCAGGCGGAAUUCGUGGUGUAGCGGUGAAAUGCUUAGAUAUCACGAAGAACUCCGAUUGCGAAGGCAGCCUGCUAAGCUGCAACUGACAUUGAGGCUCGAAAGUGUGGGUAUCAAACAGGAUUAGAUACCCUGGUAGUCCACACGGUAAACGAUGAAUACUCGCUGUUUGCGAUAUACUGCAAGCGGCCAAGCGAAAGCGUUAAGUAUUCCACCUGGGGAGUACGCCGGCAACGGUGAAACUCAAAGGAAUUGACGGGGGCCCGCACAAGCGGAGGAACAUGUGGUUUAAUUCGAUGAUACGCGAGGAACCUUACCCGGGCUUAAAUUGCAGAUGAAUUACGGUGAAAGCCGUAAGCCGCAAGGCAUCUGUGAAGGUGCUGCAUGGUUGUCGUCAGCUCGUGCCGUGAGGUGUCGGCUUAAGUGCCAUAACGAGCGCAACCCUUGUUGUCAGUUACUAACAGGUCAUGCUGAGGACUCUGACAAGACUGCCAUCGUAAGAUGUGAGGAAGGUGGGGAUGACGUCAAAUCAGCACGGCCCUUACGUCCGGGGCUACACACGUGUUACAAUGGGGGGUACAGAGGGCCGCUACCACGCGAGUGGAUGCCAAUCCCCAAAACCUCUCUCAGUUCGGACUGGGGUCUGCAACCCGACUCCACGAAGCUGGAUUCGCUAGUAAUCGCGCAUCAGCCACGGCGCGGUGAAUACGUUCCCGGGCCUUGUACACACCGCCCGUCAAGCCAUGGGAGCCGGGGGUACCUGAAGUGCGUAACCGCGAGGAGCGCCCUAGGGUAAAACUGGUGACUGGGGCUAAAUCA
rnacentral:rRNA from 1 species